GCUCUGGGGGAGAAAAUUCAACUUUUACCUUUUUGCCCCUUGGCUCUUUUGUGUCUUGUCUUUGUAUCAGCAACAUCACCACUUUAGUGACCAAUUCAAGACUUUUCAUUUACGUACUUACAAUUCGGCAUUGCAUAUCGCUUCAGCUUUUUCUUCGCAUUUAUUCAUUAAUUUCGUGCAGUAAAUUAAAUAAUAACUUUUCAUCAUUUAAAAAUCAUUAUACAAUUAAUUUAUAAAAUAAUAUUUGUUAUCAUGUAAUGUUAGUUGAUUAUUAAUUUAAUUGUUUUCAAAUUUUUUAAAAUAAAUAAACAUAAAAAGUAAGGAAUGCCCGGGGUGAUUGUGUGAUGAUUUUCAUAAUGAUGAUGAUGAUGAUGUUGUCGGUCCCUGAUCAUUACGAGUACAAGCUCCACACAACGAAGAUAAAUUCUGCUGUUGCUGUUGCUGUUGGUGCUGCAACAACACACGUGUGGAUCCCAUAUGCACAUCUGGAUCCAGCGAGGACCCCGGCGAAGAUCCGACAUAAUAUCACAUGAUCCGUGAAAGAUUGACCUAAUUGCCUAUAAACUGAGAGGCCACCGACGAGAAGUAACAACUAUACGCUGUUGAGUUCUAUUUUUGGUUGGCGUGAUUCUAUGUUUAGACGAAAGCGCGGACGCUCCCUAUAAGUUCAAGCUUCAGAUUAUGAACUCCUCGAUGUAUUAUUGGGUGGUGGCCGAAACUAACGACAAUAUCAUCAGGCAUAACGGGUUACGCGUGCCAAAAUUAUGCCCCAACACCGAGUGACAAGUACAUGAGAAGACCCCCAAAUCCGGCCAAAGACCUACAGAUGUCUAUAUGAUGUUUUCCCCUCUUCUCAAUACAUUUAUAAUAAAUAUUUAAAAAACAAUUGAAACACCAGGUUCGGUUGUGCACGAGAUUAAAUUCACAAUGAGAUGUUGAAUAUCACUUGGUGAA